GGGGUUGUGGCUCAGUGGUAGAGUGCUUGCCUAGCAUGUGAGAAGUCCUGGGUUUGAUUCCUCAGCUCCA
rnacentral:tRNA from 1 species